CAAAACGCGCACGGGCCCGCGUUGCGGGCCCGACUCAGAUUUUUUUUCUUUUUCUUAAAAACUCAGCCCACACACACGGAAUUGGGCCUGUUUUUAAAAUGGAUGCUCGGCCCGCGCGAACAGAAACAACCCAGGCAGAAACCCUACCCGGCCGCCGACCCGGAUCCGCCCGACUUCGACCCGUCUUCCCCUUUGCCGACCCGGCUUGCUGGAGUUCGCGAGAUCUGGCGAUCCGCGACGCUAAUGAGGGACGGAGGGGGUCAAACGAACAGCAGCCCGGCGUCCGAAGGUGGCGGCGUCGCAGCCGGCAACCGGCCGCUCAACUGGAUCGACGACGGGGCUCGUGGCGCGGCGGUAAGAGACGCGA
rnacentral:lncRNA from 1 species